UACGUAGGGUGCAAGCGUUAAUCGGAAUUACUGGGCGUAAAGCGUGCGCAGGCGGUUGUGCAAGACCGAUGUGAAAUCCCCCGGGCUUAACCUGGGAAUGGCAUUGGUGACUGCACGGCUAGAGUGUGUCAGAGGGGGGUAGAAUUCCACGUGUAGCAGUGAAAUGCGUAGAGAUGUGGAGGAACACCGAUGGCGAAGGCAGCCCCCCUGGGUCAAGAUUGACGCUCAUGCACGAAAGCGUGGGGAGCAAACAGG
rnacentral:rRNA from 1 species